rnacentral:tRNA from 1 species
CAAGAGAUAGUUUAACAAAAGCAGCAGCUUUGGGAGUUGCAGAUGUAAGUGCAAACCUUACUCAUCUGA